GCUAGGGUAGCCCAGUCCAGCGGCCACGAUUCCUAUCCUGUGCACGCCGCCGUCCUCCCGUCCCCAUCCCGCCACGCCUCCGCCGUCCGCCCGUCCAUCCCGAUCUCGCUCCCACGUCGCCGCCGUCCGUCCGCUUGUCCCCAUCCCGCCCCCACACCGCCGCACCUCUGCUUCGUCUUGGUGGCGGGUCCAUGUCACGGACUGACGACCCCGUCAUCUCCGACGACGGAUUUGGCCCUCGGCGAGGAGGCCGAGUCUCCUACUCCGGCCACGGCCAUCACAACCUGGGAUCUAGCGCUUAUGGCCGCCCAUGCAUCGGUAGUGUGCUUCCCCCGAUUGUCGGCAAUGUGUGCCACUAUCCCACCACGACAGCAGGGAGCAUGGGGAAUUGCCGAAUUGGGGACCACGCCAUGACGGGUUGUGCGGCGAGAGCAUGAGGAGCGGGUCACUCUGGGCCUGCUAGAAGAGGAAGGUUUCGUCCGCCACCAGCGAGUGCGCUCGGUGGCACCAGUGGCAAUGGAAACGGCGGGCUGGGGACCGGACGGUAACGGAGGGCUGGAACCGGACUACCUCGAGGAAAUCUAUUGGUUUGGGGAUUGGGUCUACCUUGCAAUAAUGGAAGCCGAGGGAUUUGGUUGGAGAUAACUCACGAGAUAAGGAUAGCACUGAAAUUGUUGCAAUUCAGGAGCAAGAGGAACUCGCAGGCUGGGCAGCUGGCAGGACUUGGUCUUCACCAAGGCCUGUUACAUACUUGGCAUGGUCUGGUUCUAUUCCCUUGGUAGCUGGAAGGGCGUCAUGGCAUUGCCUGCGCUGGUGGUGGUCGAUGAGAUUAUCACAAAUGGAGAAGUUUAUCUGAACCAUUAUGUAAACAAUGCAGCAUGGACUUAUUGUCGAACUGAGAUGAGAAAAUGAAAAUCAGCAGCAGUGAACGACAGAUGUCGAUUUUGACUCCUUCAGAUGAUUCCUUCGACUGCUGCUGCUGCUUCAGGUGAUUGAUCACUGUGGUAAUUCACUUCUUGUGUCAAACUUCAAACGCAAUAGGGGGCUGGAGGGAGGCAACAGAAUUCCUGUCAAUUAGUAGGUGUUUUUAUGUGCGUGCCUUCAGUUGUUCAGGUAGCUGCAUUCCAGUCGUGUGGUUCUUUAAGGCAUUUGAAUCUAACAAUGUUUCUUUGUCUAUGAGCUGAAUGCCUAUGGGCCUAUGAGAUCCAAUUCAUGCCGGUUGCGUACUCAGUGCAUACCUAUAACCCUGUAGCUCAAUGCGUCUUUGAUAAAAUAUUAUUCCUGUAAUUGGUAGCAGCAAACAAGGUGGUUAAAGAUUUGAUCGGAAUAUAUAUGGCAGUGAAUAAAUAUUGAUAGUUGGUCGAAAUAAAUAAGUAGUAUAUAUAUAGUAUAGAUGGGUAAAGGUGCUUAUUAAUUUAGUAUGAACAAGUUGCAAUAUUAUAGAGCUUAUAUGUUUUCUUCCUUCCGUCUAUGACGCUAGCUUAUGACUUUUCUUUUCUCAUGGAACAGGUUAUAUGACGCUAGCUUAUAACAUAUUGUGCUUGCAUUUGUAGUAUCCAGAGAUGAAUGUAACAUGUUCUAAAAUAAGUUGAACAAACAAGUUCUAAAGUAGCUUUCAUGCAAUUUCCUAAACAAUGUAAACAACACACAUGCACAUAAGGGAUAACGUCAUUGCAAACGAGGGUAGUAGAACUUAUUUUUAUAUAUAAUUUUUUAUUUUUUCCGUGGCAAUGCACAUGCAUUCAGCUAAAGUAAAAAUUGUCAUGAUGCACUUCAGUCACAGUUGAGUGGUGGAAUCUUAUUGUAGUAAAAUUGUCUGAACCAUUUCAAUAAAUUGUAGUACAACUUAUUGGAGCGACUGACAUAAUAAAUUCAGGCACAAUUGCAUUAACAAGUGAGUACUGAGUAGCAAAGUGUUUGUUGCCGGUUCAAAUAUCAGAAUGUGUCCUAGCAGCAUAAGACCAUUAAAACCAGUGGUACUAUAUUUCUUAGAAAUUUACUCUUACAACAGGGCGAGGUAGUAGAUCAUAGUGGCUUGCAUCAUGAUGACUCUUUUUAUGUCAGUUUUCUUGGACCAGUCGAAGGUAACCUGAAUCUUUCUUACAUAUUUUGGACUAUUUAUAUUUUCCUUGUCUGAUCCCACCAAAAUAUAUUUUCAUGCAGCUAUUUCUAAUUGAAUUUAAACCUGGAUGACUUUCAGCAGUCUCUUUUUUUAAUUUUCGUGCAUGUAUCAAUAAAGAGGCAUUCUUAAUUGGAAUGAUAAAAUAGCUAUAACGAAUAUAUAUACUGAUUUUGUGUUUGAGUUAGUGUGUUCUGUAUUUCUGUCGUGAUGAAUGCCUCUUUUAUUUGCCAAGCUCCUGAGCUCCUUUACAGGUCUCCUGUUGCGAAACUUAUGGUUGACAUAUGCAUUUCAAGGUUUUAUCUUCUAUGGCUGUAUUAUGUAUCUUCUGCACACAACCAUUUGUAAACUGAUUGUUUCUUGUAUGAAUGUUAGGAUUUGGAAACUAUAGAUAGAAGAUGCUCAAGAAGUCAGUUGCAUACAUUUCUUUGUCCCCUCACGUGACAUGCAUUUGCGACAGAGAGUAUGCGAGAUGGAGAUGGAUUAUGUCAACCCUAAAAAACGACUCAUCGACAAAGGUGUUGAGGUGAUGUUGUUGAAAGGGGUCAAACAUUCGUCAAGUUAUAUACAACAAAAGGCCCGUGGCAACGCACGGGCCUUGCAAAAAUAACCGAAGGUGAGGAAGUUCGAGAAGAACAAGAAGAUGUCAGAGUUUACGACGCAAUUGGACUCCAUUGGGUUUAAGAUAGCCGAGAUCACUGUGGAAGGCAACUAAAUGUAAGACCAUUGAUCGAUUCUUCUCCCCCUCCUGAAAUCCUUCUUGCGAGCUUCUAUGUUGCAUCCAUGUACAACCAAUUGUUUUAUUGAUGUGUGCUCUUGUUCAUUUCUUAACUACGAUUAUGGUGUGGUGAUCUAGAGCUAUUUGGAAGA